rnacentral:rRNA from 1 species
AACGAACGCUGGCGGCAUGCCUAACACAUGCAAGUCGAACGAGACCUUCGGGUCUAGUGGCGCACGGGUGCGUAACGCGUGGGAACCUGCCUUUAGGUUCGGAAUAACUCAGAGAAAUUUGAGCUAAUACCGGAUAAUGUCUUCGGACCAAAGAUUUAUCGCCUUUAGAUGGGCCCGCGUAAGAUUAGCUAGUUGGUGGGUAAAGGCCUACCAAGGCGACGAUCUUUAGCUGGUCUGAGAGGAUGAUCAGCCACACUGGGACUGAGACACGGCCCAGACUCCUACGGGAGGCAGCAGUGGGGAAUAUUGGACAAUGGGCGAAAGCCUGAUCCAGCAAUGCCGCGUGAGUGAUGAAGGCCUUAAGGGUUGUAAAGCUCUUUUACCCGAGAUGAUAAUGACAGUAUCGGGAGAAUAAGCUCCGGCUAACUCCGUGCCAGCAGCCGCGGUAAU